rnacentral:ncRNA from 2 species
GAAAUUCUUCGGGGCAGGGUUAAAUUCCCGACCGGCGGUAUAGUCCGCGACCUGAUACUGGAUUAUAAGUUAUAACCAACUUUUAAGUUAAUAACAGCUUUUAAGUUAGACUAACUUACUGGUAGCAGCUGAUUUGGUGUAAUUCCAAAACCGACAGUAAAGUCUGGAUGUGAGAAGAAACUG